GCACGGACCAAGUCAAAUCAUCCUUCUUCUCACACUCUUCGAACAGGAUGUCUUCCAGAGUGUAGUAGAAAUUAGGGGCGUCCAAUCUAGGUAGAUCUUCGUGGUAUGGGGGAUCGUGGGGUUUGAUCUUGCCAAAGGCCUCGAAAGGUCCGAUGUAGUGUUUGCCGCCGGUUUGGAGGCAGAUGUGGCGGAGAUUGGGGGCGUUGGGGAUCAACGCUCGGAGAACGUUCCGCAGCAUGGUGCCGUUGGCCUCGCAGUUCUCAAUCUCGGUGGCCCGAUUGGUCCAGGUGACGUAGAAGACGUGGGUAACGUCGGUGAGAGGCGAGAGCUUGGCGAGGGCAUCCUCUGAAUCGGAGAUGUCGCAUUGGAUGUACUCGACGGGAUGAUCGGCGUUCCAAUCGGGACGUGGUCGGCGAGCCACGCCGUAAACCUUCCAUGGACCGCCGGGAGUGUCGGAGAGCGGGAGAAUUUCAGCGAGGCUGUUGC
rnacentral:lncRNA from 1 species